UGGGGAAUUUUGGACAAUGGGCGCAAGCCCGAUCCAGCAAUGCCGCGUGCAGGAUGAAGGCCUUCGGGUUGUAAACUGCUUUGUACGGAGCGAAAAGGUCUGCCCUAAUACGGUGGGCUCAUGACGGUACCGUAAGAAUAAGCACCGGCUAACUACGUGCCAGCAGCCGCGGUAAUACGUAGGGUGCGAGCGUUAAUCGGAAUUACUGGGCGUAAAGCGUGCGCAGGCGGUUAUAUAAGACAGAUGUGAAAUCCCCGGGCUCAACCUGGGACCUGCCUUUGUGACUGCAUAGCUAGAGUACGGUAGAGGGGGAUGGAAUUCCGCGUGUAGCAGUGAAAUGCGUAGAUAUGCGGAGGAACACCGAUGGCGAAGGCAAUCCCCUGGACCUGUACUGACGCUCAUGCACGAAAGCGUGGGGAGCAAACA
rnacentral:rRNA from 1 species